CUAACCACGCUGUAAGCAUAGCUGUAUAUCGGGACCACGAGAACACGAUCGCAGACUGUCAUACAUGAUCAAGCAGAUAUGAACCCUAUGUGAACCAAAUCUGAGAGAGCAGCACAUCAGCACUGAGGAUAUAGAUUUUUUAGGAACGGGACUACCAGAGAAUAUUUCUACAAGAGACCCACCAGAAGAGGUGGCCGAAAAAGACAUCGGUCAAGGAAAAACCCGAAGACAGAAACAUGGGAAACUAACACCUGCCCUAUUCCAGGACAACAAGAGAAAGACUUAAAGAGCACUGAGACUGUGAAUUGGAUUUCUGGAGGAGAAGACUUCAUCUGUUCCAACAUUCAAGCUUUGUAAAUUGCUAUCAAUAUGUUUCGAAGUUUCUUUUGUGUUAUGAUGAACUAAAUAAACGCUG